GUGUGAAUGGCCGAGUGGUCUAUGGCGGCAGAAUCAGGAUCUGUUCUCUUCGGAGGCGUGGGUUCAAAUCCCACUUCACGCA
rnacentral:tRNA from 1 species